GACGAACGCUGGCGGCGCGCCUAAUACAUGCAAGUAGAACGCUGAAGGAGGAGCUUGCUUCUCUGGAUGAGUUGCGAACGGGUGAGUAACGCGUAGGUAACCUGCCUGGUAGCGGGGGAUAACUAUUGGAAACGAUAGCUAAUACCGCAUAACAGUAGAUAUCGCAUGAUAUCUACUUGAAAGGUGCAAUUGCAUCACUACCAGAUGGACCUGCGUUGUAUUAGCUAGUUGGUGAGGUAACGGCUCACCAAGGCGACGAUACAUAGCCGACCUGAGAGGGUGAUCGGCCACACUGGGACUGAGACACGGCCCAGACUCCUACGGGAGGCAGCAGUAGGGAAUCUUCGGCAAUGGACGGAAGUCUGACCGAGCAACGCCGCGUGAGUGAAGAAGGUUUUCGGAUCGUAAAGCUCUGUUGUAAGAGAAGAACGAGUGUGAGAGUGGAAAGUUCACACUGUGACGGUAUCUUACCAGAAAGGGACGGCUAACUACGUG
rnacentral:rRNA from 1 species